UGGGGAAUAUUGGACAAUGGGCGGAAGCCUGAUCCAGCAACGCCGCGUGAGGGAUGACGGCCUUCGGGUUGUAAACCUCUUUCAGUACCGACGAAGCGAAAGUGACGGUAGGUACAGAAGAAGGACCGGCCAACUACGUGCCAGCAGCCGCGGUAAUACGUAGGGUCCGAGCGUUGUCCGGAAUUAUUGGGCGUAAAGGGCUCGUAGGCGGUUUGUCGCGUCGGGAGUGAAAACAGCGGGCUUAACUCGUUGCUUGCUUUCGAUACGGGCAGACUAGAGGUAUGCAGGGGGAAGAAUGGAAUUCCUGGUGUAGCGGUGAAAAUGCGCAGAUAUCAGGAGGAACACCGGUGGCGAAGGCGGUUCUCUGGGCAUUACCUGACGCUGAGGAGCGAAAGUGUGGGGAGCGAACAGGAUUAGAUACCCUGGUAGUCCACACCGUAAAACGUUGGGCGCUAGGUGUGGGGUCCUUUCCACGGAUUCCGUGCCGUAGCUAACGCAUUAAGCGCCCCGCCUGGGGGAGUACGGCCGCAAGGCUC
rnacentral:rRNA from 1 species